GUGAAUACGUUCCCGGGCCUUGUACACACCGCCCGUCACACCAUGGGAGUGGGUUGCACCAGAAGUAGCUAGUCUAACCUUCGGGAGGACGGUUACCACGGUGUGAUUCAUGACUGGGGUGAAGUCGUAACAAGGUAGCCGUAGGGGAACCUGCGGCUGGAUCACCUCCUU
rnacentral:rRNA from 1 species